rnacentral:ncRNA from 2 species
GCCCCGGACACGGGGUGCGCGAUCGGAUGCGCUGAGAACACACCCGUGGAACCUGAUCUAGUUCGGACUAGCGAAGGGAUGUCCCGGUGACUUCUC